UGCCAGCAGCCGCGGUAAUACGUAGGGACCAAGCGUUAUCCGGAAUUAUUGGGCGUAAAGGGUGCGUAGGCGGCCUUAUAAGUCCGAGUUGAAAGCCCAUGGCUCAACCAUGGAGGGUGCUCGGAAACUAUAAGGCUUGAAUUCAGAAGAGGCUAGUGGAAUUCUAUGUGGAGCGGUGGAAUGCGUAGAUAUAUGGAGGAACACCAGUGGCGAAGGCGGCUUGCUAGGCUGAUAUUGACGCUGAUGCACGAAAGCGUGGGGAGCAAACAGGAUUAGAUA
rnacentral:rRNA from 1 species